GGCAACUUAUGUUUAAUUGAAGAGUUUGAUUCUGGCUCAGAUUGAACGCUAGCGGCAUGCCUAACACAUGCAAGUCGAACGGCAGCGCGGGAAGCUUGCUUCCUGGCGGCGAGUGGCGGACGGGUGAGUAACACGUAGGAAUCUACCUUGUAGUGGGGGAUAACCCGAGGAAACUCGGGCUAAUACCGCAUAAUUUCUUCGGAACAAAACGGGGGAUCUUCGGACCUCGUGCUACAAGAUGAGCUUGCGUCGGAUUAGCUAGUUGGUAGAGGUAAUGGCCUACCAAGGCGACGAUCCGUAGCUGGUCUGAGAGGACGAUCAGCCACACUGGGACUGAGACACGGCCCAGACUCCUACGGGAGGCAGCAGUGGGGAAUAUUGGACAAUGGGGGAAACCCUGAUCCAGCAAUGCCGCGUGUGUGAAGAAGGCCUUCGGGUUGUAAAGCACUUUCAGUGGGGAAGAAAGUCUCAAGGCUAAUACCCUUGGGCGUUGACGUUACCCACAGAAGAAGCACUGGCUAACUCUGUGCCAGCAGCCGCGGUAAUACAGAGAGUGCAAGCGUUAAUCGGAAUCACUGGGCGUAAAGUGCGCGUAGUCCGGAUUGGAGUCUGCAACUCGACUCCAUGAAGCUGGAAUCGCUAGUAAUCGCGAAUCAGAAUGUCGCGGUGAAUACGUUCUCGGGCCUUGUACACACCGCCCGUCACACCAUGGGAGUGAAUUGUACCAGAAGCGGGUAGGCUAACCUUCGGGAGGCCGCUCACCACGGUGUGAUUCAUGACUGGGGUGAAGUCGUAACAAGGUAGCCGUAGGGGAACCUGCGGCUGGAUCACCUCCUUAA
rnacentral:rRNA from 1 species